CCUACGGGGGGCAGCAGUGGGGAAUAUUGGACAAUGGGGGCAACCCUGAUCCAGCCAUGCCGCGUGUGUGAAGAAGGCCCUCGGGUUGUAAAGCACUUUCAGUGAGGAAGAACGCCUGGUGGUUAAUACCCAUCAGGAAAGACAUCACUCACAGAAGAAGCACCGGCUAACUCCGUGCCAGCAGCCGCGGUAAUACGGAGGGUGCGAGCGUUAAUCGGAAUUACUGGGCGUAAAGCGCGCGUAGGUGGCUUGAUAAGCCGGUUGUGAAAGCCCCGGGCUCAACCUGGGAACGGCAUCCGGAACUGUCAAGCUAGAGUGCAGGAGAGGAAGGUAGAAUUCCCGGUGUAGCGGUGAAAUGCGUAGAGAUCGGGAGGAAUACCAGUGGCGAAGGCGGCCUUCUGGACUGACACUGACACUGAGGUGCGAAAGCGUGGGUAGCAAACAGGAUUAGAUACUCCGGAAGUC
rnacentral:rRNA from 1 species